UUCGAAAGAAAAUGACAAAAAUGUGGUCGACGUGUUGACUAACUUGACUUUGGUGGCGAUUCUUUAUAGAAUAGCUUAAUGCACCCUUCAUGCUGUUUAGCAAGUAAAAUAAAACUAAAAAAUCUGAAUAGAAUGAUUAUGGGAGCUCAAAUAGAAUUGAGAAACCUGUGCCAAGUUUGUGAAAUGUCUGUGCUUGAGGCUGACCAGCAUUUAUCAUAUCUGAGGCCUGAACCAGCCAUCAUAACACCACAAGUUAUUACUGGUAAUAAGCUGUCAUCAGCAACAAUCUCAGCAUCAUCACUUGGACAAACAGCAUCCCUCUUGAUGGGAAAAAGAAACUACCGACGACGGCCGAGUUACCUGCAUCUUCUUCCCCCU